rnacentral:rRNA from 1 species
GGCUCAGGAUGAACGCUAGCUACAGGCUUAACACAUGCAAGUCGAGGGGCAUCAGGAAGAAAGCUUGCUUUCUUUGCUGGCGACCGGCGCACGGGUGAGUAACACGUAUCCAACCUGCCCUUUACUCGGGGAUAGCCUUUCGAAAGAAAGAUUAAUACCCGAUAGCAUAAUGAUUCCGCAUGGUUUCAUUAUUAAAGGAUUCCGGUAAAGGAUGGGGAUGCGUUCCAUUAGGUUGUUGGUGAGGUAACGGCCCACCAAGCCUUCGAUGGAUAGGGGUUCUGAGAGGAAGGUCCCCCACAUUGGAACUGAGACACGGUCCAAACUCCUACGGGAGGCAGCAGUGAGGAAUAUUGGUCAAUGGGCGUUAGCCUGAACCAGCCAAGUAGCGUGAAGGAUGAAGGCUCUAUGGGUCGUAAACUUCUUUUAUAUAAGAAUAAAGUGCAGUAUGUAUACUGUUUUGUAUGUAUUAUAUGAAUAAGGAUCGGCUAACUCCGUGCCAGCAGCCGCGGUAAUACGGAGGAUCCGAGCGUUAUCCGGAUUUAUUGGGUUUAAAGGGAGCGUAGGUGGACUGGUAAGUCAGUUGUGAAAGUUUGCGGCUCAACCGUAAAAUUGCAGUUGAUACUGUCAGUCUUGAGUACAGUAGAGGUGGGCGGAAUUCGUGGUGUAGCGGUGAAAUGCUUAGAUAUCACGAAGAACUCCGAUUGCGAAGGCAGCUCACUGGACUGCAACUGAC